rnacentral:lncRNA from 1 species
CUCGAACGAAAAUUUUAGCAGAGUUUCUAGGUAAAAACGAGAGCUUAUAGGAUAACGUAUCUGGGAUUCCCCUUUUAUAGACGGAGGGGGCAACAAAUUGAUAGUGACGCCUGAAACCGUCUGGUCGUGGGCCACCCAGAGUCAGGAGGAAUUUAUUGCGGAGGGUAGUGGAGCGGGAUCGUGGCUAUCGCCGUGGCUCGCCACGUGGAAUCAGUUACGGGGAGUGGAGCGGCGCCCGCUGUCGUGACUCGUCAGGGAGUGGUGGAAUCGCACAGAAUCCGCCGCAGGGAGUGGAGCAGAAUCGUGACCGUUAAUACGGCCUGUCAGGGAGUAAUGGAGCUACGCAGGGUCCGCCGCAGGGAGUGGAGCAGUGUUGUCCGUUACUGUGGCCUGUCAGGGGGUAAUGGAGCUACGCAGGGUCCAGACUUGUCGACCGAAAUUCGGUUGGAGUCGGUAGCGAGGUCCGGUACCCGUAGGAGUUUGGGCGAGGUCUUCCCGCAGUCGGAAUAGAAGACAGAGUCUGACUCUCGUAGGAGUCCGGACGGAGUCUUCCUUGCAGUAGGAGUUGUGGACGGAGCCCGGCUCCCGUAGGAGUCUGGGUGGAGUCUUCCUCGCAGUAGCAGUUGUGGACGGAGCCCGGCUCCCGUAGGAGUCCGGGCGGAGUCUUCCUUGCAGUAGAAGUUGUGGACGGAGCGACGGGAGUUCACCAACAGUAGUC